AGAGUUUGAUCCUGGCUCAGGACGAACGCUGGCGGCGGGCUUAACACAUGCAAGUCGAACGAGAAUCUCAGGGCUUGCCCUGAGAGGACAGUGGCGCACGGGUGAGUAACGCGUAGGCAACCUGCCCUCAAGAGAGGAAUAACUAUCGGAAACGGUAGCUAAUACCACAUAUCGUCCAGGGGUCGCAUGACCCUUGGAUAAAAGCCUUCGGGCGCUUGAGGAUGGGCCUGCGUUGGAUUAGCUAGUUGGUGAGGUAACAGCUCACCAAGGCUACGAUCUAUAGCGGGUCUGAGAGGAUGAUCCGCCACACUGGCACUGAGACACGGGCCAGACUCCUACGGGAGGCAGCAGUGGGGAAUCUUGGGCAAUGGGGGAAACCCUGACCCAGCCACGCCGCGUGCAGGAAGACACCCCUACGGGGCGUAAACUGCUUUUAUAUGAGAAGAAGGCCUCACUCUGUGAGGUUUGACGGUAUCAUAGGAAUAAGCACCGGCUAACUCCGUGCCAGCAGCCGCGGUAAUAUGGAGGGUGCAAGCGUUGUCCGGAAUCACUGGGUGUAAAGGGUGUGUAGGUGGGACAGUAAGUCAGGGGUGAAAGCCCGCGGCCUAACCGCGGAACUGCCUUUGAUACUGCUGUUCUUGAGUCCCGGAGAGGUUGUUGGAAUUCGUGGUGUAGCGGUGAAAUGCGUAGAUAUCACGAGGAACACCAGAGGCGUAUGCGAACAACUGGACGGGUACUGACACUGACGCACGAAAGCGUGGGGAGCAAACAGGA
rnacentral:rRNA from 1 species